rnacentral:rRNA from 1 species
GCAAUGAAAGUGAAGAGGGGCCUCCCGCCCCUCCAGGCAGGAUCUGUCGUCUGUUUUUUAGUGGGCGGCAGCGCACUGCCGGCCCGUCUCGGCCGCUUGUGACGGCGAGGCGGAGCAAGAGCGCACGCUCUGGGACCCGAAAGAUGGUGAACUAUGCCUGAGCAGGACGAAGUCAGGGGAAACUCUGAUGGAGGUCCGCAGCGAUUCUGACGUGCAAAUCGAUCGUCAAACUUGGGUAUAGGGGCGAAAGACUAAUCGAACCAUCUAGUAGCUGGUUCCUUCCGAAGUUUCCCUCAGGAUAGCUGGCACUAAUCUCGCUGCAGUUUUAUCCGGUACAGCGAAUGAUUAGAGGGAUUGGGGAUUUCAUGUCCUCAACCUAUUCUCAAACUUUAAAUGGGUAAGAAGCACGACUCGCCUGAAACAUUUCCAACGGAGUCGCUGCCUACUAUUGAAUGCAUGAGUGCCAAGUGGGCCAAUUUUGGUAAGCAGAACUGGCGCUGUGGGAUGAACCAAACGUCCGGUUAAGGCGCCCGAGGCGGACGCUCAUCAGACCCCAUAAAAGGUGUUGGUUGGUAUAGACAGCAGGACGGUGGCCAUGGAAGUCGGCAUUCGCUAAGGAGUGUGUAACAACUCACCUGCCGAAUCAACCGGCCCUGA